rnacentral:snRNA from 1 species
GUGCUCGCUUCGGCAGCACACACACUAAAACUGGAACGGUACAGAGAUUAGCACGGCCCUGCGCAGGGAUGACACGCACAUUCGUGAAGCGUUCCACACUAAA